UACGAAGGUGGCAAGCGUUGUUCGGAUUUACUGGGCGUAAAGGGAGCGUAGGUGGUUAGGUAAGCCCUCCGGGAAAUCUUCAGGCUUAACCUGAAAAGGUCGGGGGGGACUGCCUAGCUAGAGGGCGGGAGAGGAGCGCGGAAUUCCCGGUGUAGCGGUGAAAUUCGUAGAUAUUGGGAAGAACACCGGUGGCGAAGGCGGCUCACUGGCUCGUAACUGACGCUCAUGCACGACAGCGUGGGGAUCAAACAGG
rnacentral:rRNA from 1 species